rnacentral:rRNA from 1 species
UACGUAGGGUGCGAGCGUUGUCCGGAAUUACUGGGCGUAAAGGGCUCGUAGGUGGCCAACUAAGUCAGACGUGAAAUCCCUCGGCUUAACCGGGGAACUGCGUCUGAUACUGGAUGGCUUGAGGUUGGGAGAGGGAUGCGGAAUUCCAGGUGUAGCGGUGAAAUGCGUAGAUAUCUGGAGGAACACCGGUGGCGAAGGCGGCAUCCUGGACCAAUUCUGACGCUGAGGAGCGAAAGCCAGGGGAGCAAACGGGG